UACGGAGGGUGCGAGCGUUGUCCGGAAUCACUGGGCGUAAAGAGCUCGUAGGCGGUCUGUUGCGUCCGCUGUGAAAACCCGGGGCUUAACCCUGGGCUGGCAGUGGAUACGGACAGACUAGAGGUAGGUAGGGGAGAAUGGAAUUCCCGGUGUAGCGGUGAAAUGCGCAGAUAUCGGGAGGAACACCGGUGGCGAAGGCGGUUCUCUGGGCCUUACCUGACGCUGAGGAGCGAAAGCGUGGGGAGCGAACAGG
rnacentral:rRNA from 1 species